GCCGGCUUAGCUCAGCGGUAGAGCAACAGUUUUGUAAACUGUAGGUCGUCGGUCCGAAUCCGACAGUCGGCU
rnacentral:tRNA from 10 species